rnacentral:rRNA from 1 species
UGCCAGUCAUAUGCUUGUCUCAAAGAUUAAGCCAUGCAUGUCUGAGUACAGACCGAUCUAAGGUGAAACCGCGAAUGGCUCAUUAAAUCAGUCAUAAUUCCUUGGGUAGUGAAAAACUUUCCUCGGAUAACUGUGGAAAAUCCAGAGCUAAUACGUGCAACUGAGCUCCGACCUAGGCGCAAGUCUUGGGAAGAGCGCAUUUAUUAGUUUCAAAACUGACCGGUGUACUCCUUCGGGAUAUGCCGUUUGUCAAAUGUUUGAUGACUCCGGAUAACUAAGCCGAGCGCUACGGUCUUUAGUACCGGCGCCGUAUCUUUCAAGUGACUGCCUUAUCAGCUUUCGAUUGUAGGUUAAAUGCCUACAAUGGCUGUAACGGGUAACGGGGAAUCAGGGUUCGAUUCCGGAGAGGGAGCCUGAGAAACGGCUACCACAUCUAAGGAAGGCAGCAGGCACGCAAAUUACCCACUCCUAGCCCAGGGAGGUAGUGACGAAAAAUAACGAUGCGAGACUCUUCCGAGGCCUCGCAAUCGGAAUGAGUCUAUUAUAAAUUUAUGGACGAGGAUCCAUUGGAGGGCAAGUCUGGUGCCAGCAGCCGCGGUAAUUCCAGCUCCAAUAGCGUAUAUUAAAGUUGCUGCGGUUAAAAAGCUCGUAGUUGGACUUACUAAACCAAUUCGUGGGUGAGUCGCUCUUUGAUCUAUAUUAUAUAACGUUUCUUGUCCAGUUCCUCGAUCGCGUUUCGAACGAUCUCGUUGCAAGAGAGAGAUAGAGUGUGAGAUUGCUUUCCUUAAUUGGUUAGUUUUUUCCUCUCUCCUCCCUCCAGCGUGUUAAAACGUUCGUUACAGAAUCUUGCGGACGGCGAGACGUUUUUUUUGUUGUCAUCGGGUAUAGCUCGCUCGCGUUUGGUACAAUUAAAAUUUUGUCGGCUCGCUCGGAGUGCUCUUCAUCGAGUGUUCCAGGGUGGCUGACACGUUCACUUUGAAAAAAUUAGAGUGCUUAAAGCGGGACCUAUACAAGGGCCUGAAUGUCUGUGCAUGGAAUGAAGUAACAGGACCUCGAUUCUGUUGUUUUUGUCGGUUUUAAUGAACCGAGGUAAUGAUUAAAAGGGACAGACGGUGGCAUUAGUAUUGCGACGCUAGAGGUGAAAUUCUUGGACCGUCGCAAGACUAACUACUGCGAAAGCAUUUGCCGAGAAUGUUUUCAUUAAUCAAGAACGAAAGUUAGAGGAUCGAAGGCGAUCAGAUACCGCCCUAGUUCUAACCCUAAACUAUGCUAACUAGCGAUCCGCCGGAGUCAUUCCCACGACCCGGCGGGAAGCCCCAGGGAAACCAAAGUCUUUGAGUUCCGGGGGAAGUAUGGUUGCAAAGCUGAAACUUAAAGGAAUUGACGGAAGGGCACCACCAGGAGUGGAGCCUGCGGCUUAAUUUGACUCAACACGGGAAACCUCACCAGGCCCGGACAUCAUAAGGAUUGACAGGUUGAGAGCUCUUUCUCGAUUUGAUGGGUGGUGGUGCAUGGCCGUUCUUAGUUGGUGGAGUGAUCUGUCUGGUUGAUUCCGAUAACGAACGAGACUCUACCUUACUAACUAGUCGGCGGAUCGUAACCCUGAGAUGGUUAGUUAGUUUGUGUCGGUGGUUAGUUUUUUUUAGCUCUUAUAGAGAUAACGUGUGCCAGAGUCUGGACGCCUACUUUUUGUUUGGGUACCUAGAAUACAUCGCUCGGCGGUGGUUCUGUGGUUUCUCAUCAUUAUAUAGGUCAGAGAUUUUCCUCGCGUUGUUUUAACGAGCGAGAGGAGGCUUUCCCCCCGAUUACUACUACUACUAUACUAAUACUGGGGGCGUCCGUCGCAACAUAUCUUCUUAGAAGGAUCAGCGGCGUAUAGCCGUACGAGAAAGAGCAAUAACAGGUCUGUGAUGCCCUUAGAUGUUCUGGGCCGCACGCGCGCUACAACGGAUGGGACAGCGUGCUUUCCCCCUCCGAAAGGAACGGGUAACCCGUUGAAACCUGUACACGAUAGGAAUUGGGGAUUGCAAAUAUUUCCCAUGAACGAGGAAUUCCAAGUAAGCGCGAGUCACUAACUCGCGCUGAUUACGUCCCUGCCCUUUGUACACACCGCCCGUCGCUACUACCGAUUGAAUGAUUCAGUGAGGGCACCGGACUGGCGCCUUCGGUCUUGAAACAUAGACCUUAGGCUGACGGAAAUGAUGUCCGAACUCG